UACGAAGGGGGCUAGCGUUGCUCGGAAUUACUGGGCGUAAAGCGCACGUAGGCGGCUUUCUAAGUCGGGGGUGAAAUCCUGGAGCUCAACUCCAGAACUGCCUUUGAUACUGAAGAUCUUGAGUUCGGGAGAGGUGAGUGGAACUGCGAGUGUAGAGGUGAAAUUCGUAGAUAUUCGCAAGAACACCAGUGGCGAAGGCGGCUCACUGGCACGAUACUGACGCUGAGGCACGAAAGCGUGGGGAGCAAACAGG
rnacentral:rRNA from 1 species